GACACCUCAGUAAAAAUUCAAAAGUAGCCCCUCCCUAACGGAAGCUCUACCGAAUUGAUACCUUGGCCCAAAACCCGAAAGUAACCGUUCCUAGCAGGAAUUCUAGCCCAUUAUCACCACCGUCAAUGUCUCUUAAGAAAGGAAGUUGGAGGUCAAGACCAUAUUUCCUGAGCCAGAAGAAUCCAAAAAACUGCUCGUGCUGGGACUAAUCGGGGUCCCACCCCUCUCGACCCGAAAUAGGGUUCAAGCACAAUGAUCCUGGCAAGUUUUGGGUUAAUAGGAGUUAACUCGAUCACUGGUCUUGUUCUGUGAGAAUGGGUUGUCACAGUGACGAGGAGAAUGCUACUUUGAGGAGACAAGUCAGCUCUCAACAAUAAGAGCUUGCCUAGUAGGACACUCAGAUCCUGGAUCUUACUCGGAGGAUGGCAAACUCAGAAUUGCCUCUUGAUAACUCCUUGAUGUUCCCUAAGGAUGACCCCAAGUAUAGCUCGGAUGAGGAUUUUGAUUCUUAGGGACCUGUUCUUGUAGUUCCUGCAAACACAAGUAUAUGUAUAUUUUCAUGUUUAUUCAUCAAUUUUUUUAUUAUAUUUUUUUGUAUUGUCAGA